rnacentral:rRNA from 1 species
GACGAACGCUGGCGGCGUGCUUAACACAUGCAAGUCGAACGGAAAGGCCCUGCUUUUGUGGGGUGCUCGAGUGGCGAACGGGUGAGUAACACGUGAGUAACCUGCCCUUGACUUUGGGAUAACUUCAGGAAACUGGGGCUAAUACCGGAUAGGAGCUCCUGCUGCAUGGUGGGGGUUGGAAAGUUUCGGCGGUUGGGGAUGGACUCGCGGCUUAUCAGCUUGUUGGUGGGGUAGUGGCUUACCAAGGCUUUGACGGGUAGCCGGCCUGGGAGGGUGACCGGCCACAUUGGGACUGAGAUACGGCCCAGACUCCUACGGGAGGCAGCAGUGGGGAAUAUUGCACAAUGGGCGGAAGCCUGAUGCAGCAACGCCGCGUGCGGGAUGACGGCCUUCGGGUUGUAAGCCGCUUUCGCCUGUGACGAAGCGUGAGUGACGGUAAUGGGUAAAGAAGCACCGGCUAACUACGUG